rnacentral:rRNA from 1 species
UACGUAGGGAGCAAGCGUUGUUCGGAUUUACUGGGCGUAAAGCGCGCGUAGGCGGGUGGGUAAGUCCGCUGUGAAAGCCCGGAGCUCAACUCCGGAGGGUCGGUGGAUACUGCCCAUCUUGAAGGUGCUAGGGGGAGAUGGAAUUACCGGUGUAGCGGUGAAAUGCGUAGAGAUCGGUAGGAACACCAGUGGCGAAGGCGGUCUCCUGGAGCAUACUUGACGCUGAGGCGCGAAAGCUGGGGGAGCGAACGGG